UACGUAGGGGGCAAGCGUUGUCCGGAUUCCUUGGGCGUAAAUAGCGUGUAGGCGGCCAGGUAGGUCGGUUGUGAAAACUGGAGGCUCAACCUUCAGACGUCGAUCGAAACCAUCUGGCUAGAGUCCGGGGGGGGAGAGUGGAAUUCCUGGUGUAGCGGUGGAAUGCGUAGAGAUCGGGAAGAACAUCAGUGGCGAAGGCGGCCUGCUGGGCUGUUGCUGACGCUGAGGCGCGACAGCGUGGGGAGCAAACAGG
rnacentral:rRNA from 1 species